AGGGGUGUAGCUCAGCUGGUAGAGUGCCGGUCUCCAAAACCGGAUGUCGCAGGUUCGAUCCCUGUCGCCCCUGCCA
rnacentral:tRNA from 4 species